rnacentral:pre_miRNA from 1 species
CAAAUACUCCCUCCGUCCGGAAAUACUUGUCAUCAAAAUGGAUAAAAGGAAAUGUAUCUAGACAUAUUUUAGUUUUAGAUACAUCUCUUUUUAUCCAUUUUCAUGACAAGUAUUUUCGGACGGAGGGAGUAUUUA